rnacentral:rRNA from 1 species
UGGGGAAUCUUCCGCAAUGGGCGAAAGCCUGACGGAGCAACGCCGCGUGAGUGAAGACGGCCUUCGGGUUGUAAAACUCUGUGAUUAGGGACGAAAGAUAAGCAGACGAAUAAUCUGCAUAAGUGACGGUACCGAAAAAGCAAGCCACGGCUAACUACGUGCCAGCAGCCGCGGUAAUACGUAGGUGGCAAGCGUUGUCCGGAAUUAUUGGGCGUAAAGCGCGCGCAGGCGGCUACUUAAGUCCAUCUUAAAAGUGCGGGGCUGAACCCCGUGAUGGGAUGGAAACUGAGAAGCUGGAGUGUCGGAGAGGAAAGGGGAAGUCCUAGUGUGGCGGUGAAAUGCGUAGAGAUUAGGAAGAACACCGGUGGCGAAGGCGACUUUCUGGACGACAACUGACGCUUAGGCGCGAAAGCGUGGGGAGCAAACAGG